rfam:Triticum aestivum genome assembly, contig: Triticum_aestivum_CS42_TGACv1_scaffold_342547_4DL
UUAAUACUCUCUUCGUUCAAAAAAGCUUGUCCCAAGCUUGUUCUUCAAACAGAUGUAUCUAGCACUAACUUGAUGCUAGAUACAUUUAUUUGAGGGACAAACUUUUUUAGACGGAGGGAGUAUUAG